rnacentral:rRNA from 1 species
GAUGAACGCUGGCGGCGUGCCUAAUACAUGCAAGUCGAGCGAACAGACGAGGCGCUUGCUCCUUCGACGUUAGCGGCGGACGUGUGAGUAACACGUAUAUAACCUACCUAUAAGACUGGGAUCACUUCGAGAAACCGGAGCUAAUCCCAGAUAAUCUUUCGAACCGCAUGGUUCGAUAGUGAAAUAUGGCUUUGCUGUCACUUAUCGAUGCACCUGCGCCGUAUUAUCUAGUUGGUAAGGUAACGGCUUACCAAGGCAACGAUACGUAGCCGACCUGAGAGGGGGAUCGGCCACACUGGAAGUGAGACACGGUCCAGACGCCUAAGGGAGGCAGCAGAAGGGAAUCGUACGCAAUGGGCGAAAGCCUGACGGAGCAACGCCGCGUGAGUGAUGAAGGUCUUCGGAUCGGAAAACUCGGUUAUUAGGGAAGAACAAACGUGUAAGGAAAUGUGCACGGCUUGACGGUAACGAAUCAGAAAGCCACGGCUAACUACGUG